AAAAAAACAUGCACUCUUCUAGCAUAUAGUCAAAAGAACCUUACUUCCUUUUAAUUAUGCUUUAUACUCCAUCUCAAAAGAACAUUCUGGGCAUAAUAACAGUUUCAACGGAAUGAAGGUGCUAUGGUACGAGGAUGUCCCUGGCACCAAUGUUAUGGGCAAAUGCAAAUAUUACCUUCCUACCUUCAGGGAUUAAAACAUAUAUAUACCUUGUUCACUCCAUUUUGUAUAUAAGGAAUUACUGAUCGGCUGAAAGUGUCAGUAAUAGCCAAUUCAAGGCUUCCUGAUUGAAGCAUCGGACUGGAACCGGCACCAGACUGAAGACUUUGGGGUUAAAUAGUUGAUUAAAGGUUUAUUAGCCCCUGAAGGUAAGUCUGUGACCUAGACAUCCUCUCACCAUAACAAGUGGUUAUGGUGCCCAGAGUGUCCCUUUAAGCUCCAUUCUUUUCUUUUUUUCAUGAGCAAACCACAAAAUGGAAUGUUAAUUAAGGCAUUGUUUAUAUUUAGUGAUGUCCCGAACGGUUUGCCGAACGGUUCGCCGCGGACGGCGAACAUAUGCGCUGUUCGGUCCGCCCCCUAUUCGUCAUCAUUGGGUAAACUUUGACCCUGUACCUC